CAGUCGCCACGGGAAUACGAAGGGGGCUAGCGUUGCUCGGAAUUACUGGGCGUAAAGCGCACGCAGGCGGCUCGAUAAAUUAGAAGUGAAAGCCUUGGGCUUAACCUGAGAAUUGCUUUUAAGACUAUCGAGCUAGAAUCCAGAAGAGGGUAGUGGAAUUCCGAGUGUAGAGGUGAAAUUCGUAGAUAUUCGGAAGAACACCAGUGGCGAAGGCGACUACCUGGUCUGGCAUUGACGCUCAUGUGCGAAAGCGUGGGGAGCAAACAGGAUUAGAUACCCCCGUAGUCCCUGUCUCUUAUAC
rnacentral:rRNA from 1 species